rnacentral:rRNA from 1 species
CUACGGGGGGCAGCAGUGGGGAAUAUUGGACAAUGGGGGAAACCCUGAUCCAGCAAUGCCGCGUGUGUGAAGAAGGCCUUAGGGUUGUAAAGCACUUUCAGUAGUGAGGAAAAGUUUAAGGCUAAUACCCUUGAACCCUGACGUUAACUACAGAAGAAGCACCGGCUAACUUCGUGCCAGCAGCCGCGGUAAUACGAAGGGUGCAAGCGUUAAUCGGAUUUACUGGGCGUAAAGCGCGCGUAGGCGGUUUGAUAAGUCGGAUGUGAAAGCCCCGGGUUCAACCUGGGAAUUGCAUUCGAUACUGUCAGGCUAGAGUAUGGUAGAGGGAAGUGGAAUUCCACAUGUAGCGGUGAAAUGCGUAGAUAUGUGGAGGAACACCAGUGGCGAAGGCGACUUCCUGGCCCAAUACUGACGCUGAGGUGCGAAAGCGUGGGGAGCAAACAGGAUUAGAUACCCGUGUAGUC